AUCACCACGUCGCAGUUUCGUUUUCCCUUUUCUCUUCUCGAAACCAUAGAUCAACGAAAUCUUAACUCGCUGCUUUGACCCCUAAACCACUUCAAAUCGCUUCGGGCUCUACACGAAAGUUGUAGAUCUCGUCGAGAUCUUUCAAUCCCGACCAAUCUCAUCUCUUUUCGUCCACCAUACACGGAUAAUUUCCCAUCGCAAGGCGUCAGGUCUGACAAAAGGAAUCUUCAAUUAGUUCGUGCUCGUUUCACGAAAUCCAAAUUCCUUUGAUCUAUUUCGAGUCAACCGGAGCCAAAUUGAAUUUCAAAACGAUCUCGAAUCGUCAUGACUUCAACACGGAAGUUGUUCCUCUCGUCAAGAUCUUUCAAUUGCCGCAAGUUUCACCUUGUUUCGUUCACCGAGCAAGGAGAAAAUGAUGUUACAAAAUUCAGAUCUUAUACGUUGUACGGAGAGUAACGUAUUUUGAUUAAGAGAAGUGAACGCGCUUCGACUACCAAAAAGG